AUUGAACGCUGGCGGCAGGCUUAACACAUGCAAGUCGAGCGGAGUGAUGGUGCUUGCACUAUCACUUAGCGGCGGACGGGUGAGUAAUGCUUAGGAAUCUGCCAUUUAGUGGGGGACAACAUUCCGAAAGGAAUGCUAAUACAGCAUACGUCCUACGGGAGAAAGCAGGGGCUCUUCGGAACUUGCGCUACAUGAUGAUCUUAAGUCGGAUUAGCUAGUUGGUGGGGUAAAGGCCUACCAAGGCGAAGAUCUGUAGCGGGUCUGAGAGGAUGAUCCGCCACACUGGACUGAGACACGGCCCAGACUCCUACGGGAGGCAGCAGUGGGGAAUAUUGGACAAUGGGCGGAAGCCUGAUCCAGCCAUGCCGCGUGUGUGAAGAAGGCCUUUUGGUUGUAAAGCACUUUAAGCGAGGAGGAGGCUCUUCUAGUUAAUACCUAGGAUGAGUGGACGUUACUCGCAGAAUAAGCACCGGCUAACUCUGUGCCAGCCGCCGCCGUAAAAC
rnacentral:rRNA from 1 species